AAGAACUCGAUAAUAAUGUUCUUUUAAAUGUUGAUCCUUUGAUCAUUGUUAAUCUUUUGAUAAAGUUGGUAAUUAUCUCAAAAACUGUUUGUCACUCGGUCAACUCUAUGCUGCAUAAUCAGGAACAAGAUCUUUUAUUUUUUUAAUUGAUGAGCAUUUCUUAGAAGAGCCGAUUCAAAGAUUUUUUUGGUAUAUGCAAGAUAAAGAUUUGGCGCUUCCUAUCAUAAAAAAUAUUUCAUCUGUUUAUUGUAAACUUAUCAUAUAAUAAAGUUUGAGAAAUUGUUAAUAUUUAUA